AAAACUUAACAAAUGUAAAAGUUUUUUUUGUUUGGAGACCCGCUAUCUACAUAAAAAAUUUCCCGUUUCUAUUUUUUUGGGUAUUUUUAGGGUCUGAAACUUUUUCCAAACUGACCCAAACCCAACUGGAUCUGACCCGAACCAGAACCGAAUGUUUAGAAUUAUUGUAUUAGGUAGUAAAUCAUAUACCCAUCAAUCCCAAACCCGAACGGGUUCUACCCGAACUCGAAUGGGUUACUCAUAUGCCCAACUCUAUUCUGUGAUUUAAUUAUCUAAAAACUCCCAAAAAAACAUAUGUUUUGCUGACUAUUUUU
rnacentral:sRNA from 1 species